ensembl:misc_RNA 7SK 7SK RNA
GUGUGUGAGAGUGAUCUGGCUACAACAUUUGUUACCCCAUUGAUCGCCAGGGUUGAUUACAUUCAUGUAGCUGGCUAGGCAGGUGUCCUCUUUCUCCCUCACCCUCCACAUGUGUCCGUACCAAAGCUCUGCACUUAGUCAAAAAGGACAACCAUCCUAGGUAGACAAGGACCAUUUCCUCUGUCAAGGGUAUAAAAGUAGCUUCACUCCCCUGCUAAAAUCUCCUCAAAAGCUCUCAAAAUGAAAAUUAGAAUAAUAUAUGACAUCUCUAACAGGAAUUACAUAAAUUAAGGAGAAAGCUUUAUCACUAAAGGU